rnacentral:sRNA from 1 species
AAGUUUGCAUAUAAAAUGCAGUUAGAUAAAUAUAUAAGUAGAUGAGGACAAUCCUGCUCUUGCAGGCAAGAACCAGUAUUUUUCAUGCAAAUUUGAUUGCUGGUUAACAUAUUUAUUGUUUUAAUCUGAAGGUUGAGGAUAAAUUGUUGUUUUUAAGAAACUUUUAACAACUAUGGAUCAAAAUAUAAAACUUACCAAAACUGCUAUGAACACACACCACUGACCAAUCAUGUUUUCUUUUUGCCUCUACCCGAGAAUAUUAAUGUAUGUCUGUUCAGUGUUGACUUUGACUGACCUUCCAUGUACAUACACUAGACUAUAGCUAUAGGGUCAGUGUGCUAGCAGUAUAGGUAACACAUGCUUAUUGGACAGCCAGGCUCAAGUGCUUUGUUUACCCUCUUCAUGAAUUGCAAAUUGCCAAAUGUAUUCCAUACCUUGAUCACUGUUCUUUAUAGUGAAUGUACAGAAAUUCCAUUAAAACCUUCGACUUAAGUUUCAAGGAUGUACAAGGUUUAAAUUUUCUUCUUCUUUUUUGUGUCUGUUGAAAUUAGUAAGACUUAGUGUUUUCUUUUAUGUUCCAAACAAUGUGGGAGGAUCAACAUGACCUUAGUAGCCUGGAAAUCGUUUUAAAAAAGUGACCCUCUGUAAUUUUGCCUUCAUUAUACUUGUAAUUUAAUAUGAUAAGAAGAUGUCAUUGAAAUGAUGUGUCCAAAUUACACAUGUAACUCAAUGGUUUGCAUUUUCUAAAAAAGGAUAUUUAAUGUAUUUCAAGAUAAAGAGAGCUAAAAAUUAACUGUUAUACUUUUAGAUAUACCAGUAUUAGGUAUACCUGACCCAUUACACCCCCCCCCCCCAAAAAAAAAACAGC